GAUGAACGCUGGCGGCGUGCCUAAUACAUGCAAGUCGAGCGAACAGAUAAGGAGCUUGCUCCUUUGACGUUAGCGGCGGACGGGUGAGUUAUACGUGGAUAACCUACCUAUAAGACUGGGAUAACUUCGGGAAACCGGAGCUAAUACCGGAUAACAUAUUGAACCGCAUGGUUCAAUAGUGAAAGGCGGCUUUGCUGUCACUUAUGGAUGGAUCCGCGCCGUAUUAGCUAGUUGGUAAGGUAACGGCUUACCAAGGCAACGAUACGUAGCCGACCUGAGAGGGUGGUCGGCCAGACUGGAACGGAGACACGGUCCAGACUGCUACGGGAGGCAGCAGUAGGGGAUCUUCCGCAAUGGGCGAAAGCCUGACGGAGCCACGCCGCGUGAGUGAUGAAGGUCUUCGGAUCGUAAAACUCUGUUAUCAGGGAAGAACAAAUGUGUAAGUAUCUGUGCACAUCUUGACGGUACCUGAUCAGAAAGCCACGGCUAACUACGUG
rnacentral:rRNA from 1 species